rnacentral:rRNA from 4 species
ACGAACGCUGGCGGCAGGCUUAACACAUGCAAGUCGAACGCAUCGCAAGAUGAGUGGCAGACGGGUGAGUAACGCGUGGGAAUCUACCCAAUUCUUCGGAACAACUGAGGGAAACUUCAGCUAAUACCGGAUGUGCCCUUCGGGGGAAAGAUUUAUCGGAAUUGGAUGAGCCCGCGUUGGAUUAGCUAGUUGGUGGGGUAAAGGCCUACCAAGGCGACGAUCCAUAGCUG